rnacentral:lncRNA from 1 species
GCCUUGUGCCCCUGACAAGAUCUCCCCCCACCCCCCUGCAGGUUGGAGCCUCCCCUCGUACCUUUCUGUGCUUGUGGCGCUGGGGAACCUGGGUCUACUGAUGGUGACCCUGUGGAGGCGGCUAGCUCCCGGCAAGGGGGAGCGGGUCCCCAUCCAGGUGGUGCAGGGACUAAGUAUGGUGGGCACAGCCCUGCUGGCCCCUCUGUGGCACCAUGUGGCCCCAGUGGCGGGGCAGCCCCACUCAGUAGCCUUCCUGACACUGACACUGGUGCUGGCGUUGGCCUGUUGUGCCUCUAAUGUCACUUUCCUGCCCUUCCUGAGCCACUUGCCACCUCCUUUCUUGCGGUCUUUCUUCCUGGGUCAGGGCCUCAGUGCUCUGCUGCCCUGCAUACUGGCCCUGGUGCAGGGUGUGGGUCGCCUUGAGUGUCUGCCUGCCCCAGCCAAUGGUACCCCUGGGCCCCCCAUCAACUUCCCUGAGCGUUUUUCUGCCAGCACAUUCUUCUGGGCACUGACCGCCCUCCUGGUCACUUCAGCUGCUGCCUUCCAGGGUCUCCUGCUGCUGCUGCCUCCUUCACCACCAUCUGUACCCACUGGGGGCCCUGGGCCAGGCCUACGGGUGGGAACACCAGGAGUGGAGGAGGAGGAGGAGGAGGAGGAGGAGGAAUCACCAUUGCAGGAAUCCCCAAGUCAGGCAGCAGGCACCCCCCUCCCAGACCCCCAGGCUUCUCAGCUGUUCUCAGUCCGGGGUGCCUGCCUGCUGGGCCUGCUGGCUGUCACCAACGCACUGACCAACGGCGUGCUGCCUGCAGUGCAGAGCUUUUCCUGUCUGCCCUAUGGGCGCCUGGCCUACCACCUGGCUGUGGUGCUGGGUAGCUCCGCCAACCCCCUGGCCUGCUUCCUGGCCAUGGGCAUACUGUGCAGGUGAACAUGGGCCCAAGCUUGUUGGUGGGGGACAAUGUAGGGGUAGGGUCCUGAUCCUGGCUCAGCCAGUCCUGAGUUCCUCCCCCUCUCUGGCAGGUCCCUGGCAGGGCUGUGUGGUCUCUCUCUGCUAGGCUUGCUCUUUGGGGCCUACCUGAUGGCACUGGCAAUCCUGAGCCCCUGCCCUCCCCUAGUGGGCACCUCUACAGGCGUGGUCCUUGUGGUAGGUACAGUGGGUCAUGAAGUGGGGAAGGGGAUUGCCCCUGUGCAAGAGCAUCUCACACUCAGCCUGCUGCUGUCAUCUGCCUCUCAGGUGUUGUCGUGGGUGCUGUGUGCAGGUGUGUUCUCGUAUGUCAAGGUGGCGAUCAGCUCCAUGCUGCACGGCGGGGGGCGGCCAGCACUGCUAGCGGCUGGUGUGGCCAUCCAGGUGGGCUCCCUGCUCGGUGCUGUUGCCAUGUUCCCUCCCACCAGCAUCUAUCACGUGUUCCACAGUGGAGAAGAUUGUGUGGACCUGUGUGGUCCUUGAGCCUGUGCAGGUGGGACUCUCCACCCACCCCCCAACCUCCCACCUCCACCUGGACACUACCACAAUACCUGAGCACCUGCUGCCCAGGGAGGCUUCCCGCCCAACACUGACACGUUCACGGACACCUGCACACUCCACAGGAGCCCCUGGCAAUUUCAUUCCAGGGUGGGGAUCAAAGAGCAGGCCUGAAGCCAGGG